GACGAACGCUGGCGGCGUGCUUAACACAUGCAAGUCGAACGAUGAAACCUAGCUUGCUAGGUCGAUUAGUGGCGAACGGGUGAGUAACACGUGACUAACCUGCCCCUUUCUCUGGGAUAACGCUCCGAAAGGAGUGCUAAUACCGGAUACUCUCACCGAGGCACAUGCCUUGGUGUGGAAAGUUUUUCGGAAAGGGAUGGAGUCGCGGCCUAUCAGCUUGUUGGUGAGGUAACGGCUCACCAAGGCGACGACGGGUAGCCGGCCUGAGAGGGCGACCGGCCACACUGGGACUGAGACACGGCCCAGACUCCUACGGGAGGCAGCAGUGGGGAAUAUUGCACAAUGGGCGCAAGCCUGAUGCAGCGACGCCGCGUGAGGGAUGAAGGUCUUCGGAUUGUAAACCUCUUUCAGUAGAGACGAAGCGAAAGUGACGGUACCUAAAGAAGAAGCACCGGCUAACUACGUGCCAGCAGCCGCCGUAA
rnacentral:rRNA from 1 species